UGUGUGUGUGUGUGUGUGUGUGUGUGUGUGUGUGUGUGUGUGUGUGUGUGUGUGUGUGUGUGUGUGUGUGUGUGUGUUCUGGUAAUCAUCACGCGAUGGGGACCGUUGACUGUUUACACAGUCACGUCAUGGGGACCGGUUGCGCUUUGGGGACCAAAAUCCCGGUCCCCAUGAGGAUAACCCUUUUAAAUGACUACUAGAGCUACUCUGAAGGUGCCCGUGAAGUUUUAAGCAUUGGCCCAUACGACAUGUUUUUUGGUGAGUGUGAGUGUGUGAGCAUUGCUCAUUGGUGGCCCUACUGUUUCUAGUUAGUACUGCACCCACUGCUUCACACACACACAUCUUCCAAAUAUGGUUGGGUGCCACCCACUUCCUUGUCCCCAUUAGGAAUGAUUCAAGCAGCGAGGACAUUUUCAGCAUCAAGAGGUAGCUAUCAACAGUAAAAGAAGAUUAUUUGCUGGAGAAACUAGCUAAGAAGAUAAGAACAUGUGCAGAGGAGCAAAAGUAAAGCAUAAGAAAUGCCACCACGGAUCAGCAAUUCAACAUGAUACACAUCUGCAAAUUAGAGGUCCAGUAUAUUUAUGCAGCAAAAGGAUGUGGUAUAUUUGCAAAGGGUACAAUUUGCAAAGGAGACUUUGUUAUAUAUAGGGGGGAGGUCUAGAGGCGGUGGUCUAUCGGCAGAAACUUGGACUAUGGGCAGAGAAGGUCUCUGGUUCGUCUCUGGUUCGUCUUUGGUUCGACUCCACGGAGAAACAACAAAAGAUGAACCUGGAUUGAUCUGUCCAAAAAUCCAAGAGUUUCCCUACCCUGUCUAGUGCCCCUGAGCAAGGCACCUUACUCCCCCAACAUCUGCUCCCCGAGCGCCGUACAUGGUCGCUCACUGCUCUGUGUAUCCUGCACCAGAUGGGUCAAAAGCAGAGAUUAAAUUUCCCUACCUGCAUGAGUGUGCCUUUGCAUGUCUGUGCAUGUGUUUGGGACUAAUAAAUGCAUCUUAAUCUGCAUCUGCAUUUUAAGGAUAUAAUAAGUGAUGCAGAAUCCCAGAGAAGGAGAAAACUUUACCACCCCUGAUGUGCUGCAUUCAUGUUUGCCUUCAAGUGAACUUAAGAAUUCCUAAACUACACUCCAUAUACUAUUUUAAGUUAUACUAAGUGGGGCUCUGGUUUUAUUGUGAUAUAUUGUGACAUUUGUAUUUUUUCUUUUUCAAUUUUUCCAAUUUCUCAAGUAUUGAUGCCUUCAGAGAAGAUGGCUCAAUUGGGUGACAAGUUAAUGAUGAACACAGACGUCCUUACUCCAAAAUGAAAAAAAUUGGUGUUAAUGGAGAACCCCACCUUUGUUUAUUUGCCCUGGAUGACAUCAAAGAAGGAGAAGAAAUCGCCUAUAACUAUAGAGGUGAAGACUGCCCAUGGCAAACACAGACGACCAGCAUCACUGUUAACACCAUGGAGGAGGAUGAUUCAGAUCCUGUCCACUCAGAGAGUCUGAUGGCUUGUGCCUUUGGGCCAAAGACACCACCUGAAGAGGUACAACUGCCCAAAAGAAGAAAACACCCUGGAAGGAGACAGACGUGAAGGCAGUGGAAAGGCACAUGAAUCGAUUCAUCACAUCUUGUAUUGCUCCAGCAAAGUUUGACUGUGAGAAGUGUUUAAGGGCUGAUCCAGAAGCUCUUAAGGACCGGAGCUGGCAGAAUGUGAAAUUCUACAUAUAUAACCGCAUUACAGCCAACAAGAGGAAAUUAAGUAAAUAAUGGGAAGAUUACCACCAGUAAGCGGUUGCUAUGUGGUUGUCUGAAAUUAAAAAUAUCUUACAAAUUUGA